CCUACGGGAGGCAGCAGUGGGGAAUAUUGCACAAUGGGGGAAACCCUGAUGCAGCGACGCCGCGUGAGCGAAGAAGUAUUUCGGUAUGGAAAGCUCUAUCAGCAGGGAAGAAAAUGACGGUACCUGACUAAGAAUCUCCGUCUAAAUACGUGCCAGAAGCCGCGGUAAUACGUAUGGAGCAAGCGUUAUCCGGAUUUACUGGGUGUAAAGGGAGCGUAGGCGGUAAGGUAAGUCUGAUGUGAAAGGUUGGGGCUCAACCGUGGGACUGCAGUUGAAACUGUUAAACUGGAGUGCAGGAGAGGUGAGUGGAAUUCCUGGUGUAGCGGUGAAAUGCUUAGAUAUUACGAAGAACACCGGUUGCGAAGGCAGCUUGCUGGAC
rnacentral:rRNA from 1 species